rnacentral:rRNA from 1 species
UACGUAGGUGGCAAGCGUUGUCCGGAAUUACUGGGUGUAAAGGGAGCGUAGGCGGGUGAACAAGUCAGCGGUGAAAAAUAUGGGCUCAACCCAUAUCCUGCCGUUGAAACUGUACAUCUUGAGUGGAUCAGAGGCAAGCGGAAUUCCGAGUGUAGCGGUGAAAUGCGUAGAUAUUCGGAGGAACACCAGUGGCGAAGGCGGCUUGCUGGGGUCUAACUGACGCUGAGGCUCGAAAGUGUGGGGAGCAAAC